GAUCGGAGCUGAACAGUGUGGCAGGGAAGGAGGGAGAACAAGGAUCUGAAGUGCCAGCAGCAGCCACCCAUGCACAGUGACUGGGGUGCUGCUGACUGUAUCUCCUUCGCCAGGCCAGCGGUGAUCUGCAGGUGAAGGUGCAAUAGUGGGCACUUCACCCAGAAGUUAGUAUCCACCAGUUUACUCACAAAACUAGGGUGAUGGCUAUGACCGGCUAUUACUGAAAGUGAUUUUUUGUACAGGCAACAACUUGUUAUUUUCCUUGAACAAGAAAAUAUCCGGAAAAGGCGAGUAAUAUGAAUCAGAAGUCAAGGUGAAUUCCCAGCUGUCAAAUCCAUCAGUGAGAUUGGUAUAUGAAACUUCCGACUGAUCGGAAAUCUCCUUCUGCUCUUAUAGCACAUUGCCCACAGUGCAGCUACCUGUAUGUGGAUAUGGAUUUGUAGCCUGAGAGAUAAACGUUUUUUUCAACAUCUCACAACGGCAAAUAAAGGUGUUACCAGAGAUUUAUGUGCAGGUACUUUAUUCUCUCAUGAUACUGAUGAAAACCAGAGCUCACCGGGAAUUCUCUUCUUUGACAGCUACUGUAUGAUGCAACUGUCUUUGCUCAUAUUCUGCUCCAGCUGUACCCUAGUGUUGAUCCGGAAACAAUGUAAGAAAUAAGAGUUUACAAGCUUUACAUACAGUACUACAACAAGACAGCAAAAAUUACCACUG